GAGUUUGAUCCUGGCUCAGGAUGAACGCUAGCUACAGGCUUAACACAUGCAAGUCGAGGGGCAUCAGGAAGAAAGCUUGCUUUCUUUGCCGGCGACCGGCGCACGGGUGAGUAACACGUAUCCAACCUGCCCUUUACUCGGGGAUAGCCUUUCGAAAGAAAGAUUAAUACCCGAUGGCAUAAUGAUUCCGCAUGGUUUCAUUAUUAAAGGAUUCCGGUAAAGGAUGGGGAUGCGUUCCAUUAGGUUGUUGGUGAGGUAACGGCCCACCAAGCCUUCGAUGGAUAGGGGUUCUGAGAGGAAGGUCCCCCACAUUGGAACUGAGACACGGUCCAAACUCCUACGGGAGGCAGCAGUGAGGAAUAUUGGUCAAUGGGCGCUAGCCUGAACCAGCCAAGUAGCGUGAAGGAUGAAGGCUCUAUGGGUCGUAAACUUCUUUUAUAUAAGAAUAAAGUGCAGUAUGUAUACUGUUUUGUAUGUAUUAUAUGAAUAAGGAUCGGCUAACUCCGUGCCAGCAGCCGCGGUAAUACGGAGGAUCCGAGCGUUAUCCGGAUUUAUUGGGUUUAAAGGGAGCGUAGGUGGACUGGUAAGUCAGUUGUGAAAGUUUGCGGCUCAACCGUAAAAUUGCAGUUGAUACUGUCAGUCUUGAGUACAGUAGAGGUGGGCGGAAUUCGUGGUGUAGCGGUGAAAUGCUUAGAUAUCACGAAGAACUCCGAUUGCGAAGGCAGCUCACUGGACUGCAACUGACACUGAUGCUCGAAAGUGUGGGUAUCAAACAGGAUUAGAUACCCUGGUAGUCCACACAGUAAACGAUGAAUACUCGCUGUUUGCGAUAUACAGUAAGCGGCCAAGCGAAAGCAUUAAGUAUUCCACCUGGGGAGUACGCCGGCAACGGUGAAACUCAAAGGAAUUGACGGGGGCCCGCACAAGCGGAGGAACAUGUGGUUUAAUUCGAUGAUACGCGAGGAACCUUACCCGGGCUUAAAUUGCAGUGGAAUGAUGUGGAAACAUGUCAGUGAGCAAUCACCGCUGUGAAGGUGCUGCAUGGUUGUCGUCAGCUCGUGCCGUGAGGGGUCGGCUUAAGUGCCAUAACGAGCGCAACCCUUAUCUUUAGUUACUAACAGGUUAUGCUGAGGACUCUAGAGAGACUGCCGUCGUAAGAUGUGAGGAAGGUGGGGAUGACGUCAAAUCAGCACGGCCCUUACGUCCGGGGCUACACACGUGUUACAAUGGGGGGUACAGAAGGCAGCUAGCGGGUGACCGUAUGCUAAUCCCAAAAGCCUCUCUCAGUUCGGAUCGAAGUCUGCAACCCGACUUCGUGAAGCUGGAUUCGCUAGUAAUCGCGCAUCAGCCACGGCGCGGUGAAUACGUUCCCGGGCCUUGUACACACCGCCCGUCAAGCCAUGGGAGCCGGGGGUACCUGAAGUACGUAACCGCAAGGAUCGUCCUAGGGUAAAACUGGUGACUGGGGCUAAGUCGUAACAAGGUAGCCGUACCGGAAGGUGCGGCUGGAACACC
rnacentral:rRNA from 1 species